AGUGAACGCUGGCGGUAGGCCUAACACAUGCAAGUCGAACGGCAGCACAGUAAGAGCUUGCUCUUACGGGUGGCGAGUGGCGGACGGGUGAGGAAUACAUCGGACUCUACUUUUUCGUGGGGGAUAACGUAGGGAAACUUACGCUAAUACCGCAUACGCCCUACGGGUGAAAGCAGGGGAUCUUCGGACCUUGCGCGAUUGAAUGAGCCGCUGUCGGAUUAGCUAGUUGGCGGGGUAAAGGCCCACCAAGGCGACGAUCCGUAGCUGGUCUGAGAGGAUGAUCAGCCACACUGGAACUGAGACACGGUCCAGACUCCUACGGGAGGCAGCAGUGGGGAAUAUUGGACAAUGGGCGCAAGCCUGAUCCAGCCAUACCGCGUGGGUGAAGAAGGCCUUCGGGUUGUAAAGCCCUUUUGUUGGGAAAGAAAAGCAGCAGGUUAAUACCCCGCUGUUCUGACGGUACCCAAAGAAUAAGCACCGGCUAACUUCGUG
rnacentral:rRNA from 1 species